UAGGGAAUAUUGGGCAAUGGAGGAAACUCUGACCCAGCAACGCCGCGUGAAGGAUGAAGGUUUUCGGAUUGUAAACUUCUGUUAUGAGAGAAAAAUAAAUGAUGGUAUCUCAUGAGUAAGCCCCGGCUAACUAUGUGCCAGCAGCCGCGGUAAUACAUAGGGGGCAAGCGUUGUCCGGAAUCACUGGGCGUAAAGAGAGCGUAGGCGGUUUUGUAAGUCAAUGGUGAAAGCCCGAGGCUCAACUUCGGAAUUGCCGUUGAUACUGCUUAACUAGAGUGUGGGAGAGGAAAAUGGAAUUCCUAGUGUAGCGGUGGAAUGCGUAGAUAUUAGGAGGAACAUCGGUGGCGAAGGCGAUUUUCUGGAACAUUACUGACGCUGAGGCUCGAAAGCGUGGGGAGCAAACAGG
rnacentral:rRNA from 1 species